ACGUAGGGUGCAAGCGUUGUCCGGAAUUAUUGGGCGUAAAGAGCUCGUAGGCGGUUUGUCGCGUCUGCUGUGAAAACCCGAGGCUCAACCUCGGGCCUGCAGUGGGUACGGGCAGACUAGAGUGCGGUAGGGGAGAUUGGAAUUCCUGGUGUAGCGGUGGAAUGCGCAGAUAUCAGGAGGAACACCAAUGGCGAAGGCAGAUCUCUGGGCCGUAACUGACGCUGAGGAGCGAAAGCAUGGGGAGCGAACAGGAUUAGAUACCCUGGUAGUCCAUGCCGUAAACGCUGGGAACUAGAUGUAGGGACCAUUCCACGGUUUCUGUGUCGCAGCUAACGCAUUAAGUUCCCCGCCUGGGGAGUACGGCCGCAAGGCUA
rnacentral:rRNA from 1 species